rnacentral:misc_RNA from 1 species
AAGUCGUAACAAGGUAACCGUAGGUGAACCUGCGGUUGGAUCAUUAACAAAAAACCAAGAACCAUAAGUGUCUUUUGACAUUUUCGGUUUGAACCCCUGUGAACCGUUAUCGUCUCUGGUGGUGGGUAAGAGGAAGAGGAGUCUUAAUGCUCGUCGUCCAACCACCCACCACCCAUUUUAUUAAACUUGUAAUAUAUUUGACUUGCAAUAUUAUUUAAUAAUAAUAAACAACUUUUGGCAACGGAUCUCUUGGCUCUC